UCCCAAAAUAUGUUUCUUUCUUUUGCAAAAAAAUAAAUAGUACAAUGAGCACUUGGUUUUCCUCUUGUUUUCCCUAGACUGAGCCAUAGUCUAGGGAAAGAAAGAAAACUUUUUCCCUUCCCUAGAACUCUCACGCUCAAAUCCUUCUCCUCUCCCAUCAACUUUGGACCGCCGAAAAAUGGCAAUUUCCUGUGGAUCAUCUCUUCGACCUUAUACACCGUCCAUCAAUCAACUAUCCUAUGGCUUCACAACUUCUCCUCCUUCCCCAGGCAUUCCUCUUCCCCAUUCCCCUUCACUAUUUCGUCCCAUCAAAGAACGGCUAUGAGCCGCUGGAACACAACAAUACCCGGCGGUCUCUUGCUUUAUGUCUUUCCCAUCACCUUUUUCUGAUGAAAACAGACCCCUACGCUGCUACAGCUCUGCUCUAGCCGAGUUUUGUUUAAAAUAUUUUCAAAAUUUCUGGUCUUAAAAAUUUGAAAACUGAUGAUUGAUUUUGAUAUCAAGUUGCAACUCUUUGUUUUCCAGCAUUAUUUUAAUUUUCAAAUUUGAAUUUUGGAUUCUGUUUUUCACCUGUAAAAGGAUGGCUUUUUCCCAUCCAAAACCAGAGGGAGAAAGGGACAGAGACAGAUAGAAAAACGAAGGAGUAUCGAUUAUCAUCUAGAAAUCAUUCAUCGACAUCCGAAAAUCAUCAUGAGAAGCACGAGUUCGAAUUCGAAAUCACUUGACGUCAAAGCUUUUAGUUUGCUGCUCUACGCAAGGUCUUUUUUUGGUCCAAUACACAACCCUUUUCUGGGCUUUAAGGUGUAAGAUUUCAGCUUAAAAUGCCAACUUUAAGAGGUGGCAACUAUAACACAAACAUUUUUUCAAAAAAUCAGAGUGUCAGCCAUAUUAUGUUGUGAACUGUUUUUGGGCGGUUCGAAAAUAAGGUGCGACACUAAUGAGGCAUUAUAUGGGCAUAGGUGCAUAUCUGCUACAAAAAAAGUUGAGAUCAUCAGAGAUAAACAUAAGAUAAGCCAGAGUUGUCAGAAGUCCUAUGCAUAUAUAAGGAGAAGGGACUUAGAAUUUGAGAUUUCUGCUUGAUUUUCCUGAAAGUAUCACUUAUAAAGGGAAUAAUGAGAUUUGGCUAAAGGAAAGCUAAGUCCUAGAUAUUUUGGCCCUUACAAGAUCUUCAAAAGGGUUGAUUCAGUCACUUAUGAGUUAGAGCUGCCAGCUGAACUAGUAAUAGUCCAUCCGAUUUUUCAUAUUUUCUUGUUGAAGAAGUGCGUGGAUUAUCCAACAUCUAUAGUACCAUUAGAAAGUGUGGUUAUAAAGGAUAAUCUCACUUAUGAAGAGGUAGUAAUUGAAAUUCUUGAUCGCCAUGUUCGAAGGUUGAGAAACAAAUAAGUCGCAUCACUCAAGGUGAUGUGGAAGAGUCAAUAUAUAGAGGGAGCUACUUGGUAAACAAAAGUAGCCAUAAAGUCCAAGUAUUACAACAUGAGGGUUCACAGACCGUGAAAGGAACCAUGAAUUGUCGACCUGCCUAUGGCUCAUGCCCUCCCAGAAGAGGUGGACAACGAGACCCUUCACAGGUCGUGGACCAUCCAACAAGCCAUAGUGAGGCUUGUCUAUGUCAGGCAGAACCCACCAAGCUCAAGUGUCAGAUCAUGGAGCCCUCAACGAAAGGCGGUGGUCUGAACAAAAGGCCGUGAUCUUAAUGACGGGCCAUUGUGGCAUCCGUGAACUUGAGCCAUUAGACCCCAGCUCAAGUAAAGUUCCACGGCGACCUUCACGAUCCGUGGUCGUUCACAUGUAAUCUAGUAGGGCUCGUGGUUUGACCACCCAAUAACCAAUAAUAUAUGGGUUGAGGAACAAAGUACGGAUACUAAUAUGCAAAAAGGAACAAAAUAGGCUGAAAGAGUAAGGAAAUGCAAGCCUCGUGAUCGCCAAGUCUACUUGGCGAGUCACCAAAAUGGCUACUUGACCGCCUAAAAUUCGAGUGAGCCAAGCCCUGAAGAAAAGAACCAAGUUGGUGAGAUAAAGGAGCAAUUGGCGGAUCUCCGAGUUAUUCACUGAUGCAGUGUUAGAUCGACCAAAGUUACAGACCUUUGAGAUUGCUGAAUGCCAAGGCAGAAGGGCGAUAGAAAUUACCAAAGGGAGGCUCGGCAGAAGGGUGUUUCAGCAAGCCUGACUUACUUUGCCAAAUGUCUCUUUGCAACAUAUUUUUGAAAACUAUAAAUACAUUUUGAAACAUUGUGUUUAGUAUCUAAUGGCAUAAUAUAUGAGUCUAUUA